rnacentral:RNase_P_RNA from 1 species
AGAGGACAACUGGUGGUUGCAGGCUUUGGCCUGAGGAAAGUCCGGGCUUCCGAAAGACCAGACUUGCUGGGUAACGCCCAGUGCGGGUGACCGUGAGGAUAGUGCCACAGAAAGAUACCGCCCGAGCGAUUUUGGAGGUUAGACCUGUAAUUUUGGAUUUUGGAUCGUUCAUUCUAUUCAAACUUCAAAACCUAACCUCCAACCCUCGGGUAAGGGUGCAAAGGUGCGGUAAGAGCGCACCAGCAACGUCGAGAGGCGUUGGCUCGGUAAACCCCGGUCGGAAGCAAGGUCGAAUGGAGCAACGGUUGGUCUUUUACCCGCUCCAGACAGGGUGGGGCAACCUGCCUUGUGCAAUCCGCUAGAGGUGUUUGGCAACAAGCAUCCCAGAUAGAUAACCACCCUUGACAGAACCCGGCUUAUGUUGGCCUCUUCUC